GACCCUGCCCUAGAAGCCAGCAGCCGCCCCGUCGGCAGGUGGCACGGACGCGCCGCGCUCCUCCUCCCCGCUUUUCCGCCUUCGGAGAGGACGCCGGGAAGCGCGUCACAGAAACGCGCCCGGCCCCGCCCCGCUCCCGGCCGGAAGUGCGCAGGGCGGCGGCUGCGCAGGGCCCGCGUGGAGCGGGGCGGGGCGGGGCGGGGGACACCGGAGGUGGAGGAAGGGGCCGCGUACCACGUGGUGUGUGGGGCCGAGGAAAGCACGGACUUCCAGCACCCGGGAAGGCAACAAGGCUCACACAGCAAUUCUGUCAUCUUGCUUGCUAACCCUGGGCCCCCAGGGGCAGAAAGGAGUUCUAGGCUCUGCUCAGCACCACUGGUAGGCUUUGCAGUCCUCAUCCAUGUACGAAGACAGAGGAGCAGAGGGACCACCAGACUGUCAUCUCAAAGUGUUCCCCAGCACAGCAAAGAUAGUGUGUGUUUGCAUUCACCCUGGAGUACCGUAGCAGCUAAAGGCAAUUUGACAGACACAACAUGUAUCUGGAAUAAAAGGUGUUUCACAGUG